rnacentral:rRNA from 1 species
CCUACGGGUGGCAGCAGUGGGGAAUAUUGCACAAUGGGGGGAACCCUGAUGCAGCAAUGCCGCGUGGGUGAAGAAGCACCCAGGUGCGUAAAGCCCUGUCAGCAGGGAAGAAAAUGACAGUACCUGGACAAGAAGCCCCGGCUAACUACGUGCCAGCAGCCGCGGUAAUACGUAGGGGGCAGGCGUUAUCCGGAUUUACUGGGUGUAAAGGGAGCGCAGGCGGGAUGGCAAGUCAGAUGUGAAAACCCGGGGCCCAACCCCGGGAGUGCAUUUGAAACUGACAUGCUGGAGUGGCGGAGAGGUAUGCGGAAUUAGUAGUGUAGCGGUGAAAUGCGUAGAUAUUAGGAAGAACACCGGUGGCGGAGGCAGCUUACUGGACGGUAACUGACGCUGAGGCUCGAAAGCGUGGGGAUCGAACAGGAGUAGAUACCCGAGUAGUC